rnacentral:rRNA from 1 species
UACGAAGGGUGCAAGCGUUACUCGGAAUUACUGGGCGUAAAGCGUGCGUAGGUGGUUUGUUAAGUCUGAUGUGAAAGCCCUGGGCUCAACCUGGGAAUGGCAUUGGAUACUGGCGAGCUAGAGUGCGGUAGAGGGUAGUGGAAUUCCCGGUGUAGAGGUGAAAUUCGUAGAUAUCGGGAGGAACACCAGAGGCGAAGGCGGCGACCUGGAAGGUGACUGACACUGAGCAGCGAAAGCGUGGGUAGCAAACAGG